AAUAUCUUUUCUGCCAAAUUCAAGAGUCUAAGCUUGCAAUACAUGGCCAGUAAUGCGUUACCAACCAUGUGAUCCUCAUCGUAGUUUCUUCUCAAGAUGAAUCCAUGGAAAGUCUUAGCUUCCAAAAUCAUCGCGACAUUACCUAAACCAGAAAGCACACAACUAAUUACCAUCCCAUCCGGGGUAAUCCCACUAGCCAGCAUUCUCAAGAA
rnacentral:misc_RNA from 1 species